GGACCCUUAGCUCAGUUGGUUAGAGCGUCUGACUCAUAAUCAGAGGGCCGGGGGUUCAAGUCCCUCAGGGUCCACAA
rnacentral:tRNA from 1 species